UUGAGGGGGCCAAGAUGGCGGGUUCUUCCCCGUCAGCCUUUCACUGCAGCAGGGGUGAGCCUAGCAGGUGUUCGAAUCACAUCCGCGGAUUGGUACAUGGCACUGCUGUUCCCCUUAAGAAAACCCCAGGCCCCACCAGCAGAGCAGCAGAGCAGCAGAGUGGCAGAGUGGCAGAGAAGGAGAGAAGCAGCAGCCAGAUGUUGGAGAGAAGCAGCUUGACUUCAGAGGGACAACUUGGUAGCGGGACCUCGGAGAAGAGUUUGGCCAGGGAUGCCCAAACUCCAGGGGAAGACCACCUUCCCACUCCAUCCCCUUUCCAGCUCCCCAUUCCAUUGAGAGCCACUUCCACCACUAAAUAAAAUCCUCCACAUUCACCAACCUCAAAUUUGUGAAACCUCAUUCCUCCUGGAUGCUAGACAAGAACCUGAGUGUGGGUGCAAGAGGCUGUCAUCAUGACUCUACACUGAGCUGUUUAACACUUAAGCCAUCCGUGGAUGGCAAAGCUAGAAGAGCGCACUGUAACACAGGCCCUCUGGGGCUCCAGGGGUCAUGGGCGACCCCUAGACUCUGCCGCAGGCCCGCACAGGGUUCUGCUCCUGCCGGUUGCCCAAAAGUGCUCAUCCUGGCCUCUGCGCCUGCUCUCCUGUGUUCUCCCCCUCCCACAAGGGGUUGAGAGCUGCAGGCUGAGUAAGCAAGCCACCCUAUCAUGAGUCCUGUGAAUGGGUUGAGGGAACUAUCCUAUUUCAACAGGACAUUCAGUGCUAAAAACCUGAAAAAGUCUCAGGCAAAGUGGG
rnacentral:lncRNA from 1 species